rnacentral:misc_RNA from 1 species
GAAAUGCGAUAAGUAAUUUGAAUUGCAGAAUUCAGUGAAUCAUCGAAUCUUCGAACGCACCUUGCGCUCCUUGGUAUUCCUUGGAGCAUGCCUGUUUGAGUAUCAUGAAAUCUUCAAAGUAAAUCUUUUGUUAACUCAAUUGGUUUCUACUUUGGUAUUUGAGGUCUUUGCAGCUUCACACCUGCUCCUCUUUGUUCAUUAGCUGGAUCUCAGUGUUAUGCUUGGUUCCACUCGGCGUGAUAAGUUAUCUAUCGCUGAGGACACUGUAAAAGGUGGCCAAGGUAAAUGCAGAUGAACCGCUUCUAAUAGUCCAUUGACUUGGACAAUACUUUUAUGAUUUGAUCUCAAAUCAGGUAGGACUACCCGCUGAACUUAAGC